GACGAACGCUGGCGGCGUGCUUAACACAUGCAAGUCGAACGGAAAGGCCCUGCUUGCAGGGUACUCGAGUGGCGAACGGGUGAGUAACACGUGGGUGAUCUGCCCUGCACUUCGGGAUAAGCUUGGGAAACUGGGUCUAAUACCGGAUAGGAGCCAUCUUUAGUGUGGUGGUUGGAAAGUUUUUUCGGUGUAGGAUGAGCUCGCGGCCUAUCAGCUUGUUGGUGGGGUAAUGGCCUACCAAGGCGGCGACGGGUAGCCGGCCUGAGAGGGUGUACGGCCACAUUGGGACUGAGAUACGGCCCAGGCUCCUACGGGAGGCAGCAGUGGGGAAUAUUGCACAAUGGGCGCAAGCCUGAUGCAGCGACGCCGCGUGGGGGAUGAAGGCCUUCGGGUUGGAAACUCCUUUCGCUAGGGACGAAGCUUUGUUGUGACGGUACCUAGAGAAGAAGCACCGGCUAACUACGUG
rnacentral:rRNA from 1 species